UUGCAAUGAUGUUUUCUUAGGACACCUUUGAAAAAGAAAUGAAACUAAACAAGAUUUCUGAGCAAC